AUAGCCGUAGCAAGUCUGGUGGGAAUGGUGGAGGUACUGGUGGCGGUGCUGGCGGGGGUAGGGGGAGGGGCUCCUAAGCCAAUUUGGGGGGGGGGUUAGUGUUUUUCCUUGUUUUUUUGUUUCUUUGGUUUUUAAGAGAAGAGGCGUGCUUUUAUUAGCGCCUUUGUUGUAUAUUUCUGGGAUGAUGUUGUAUAUGGGAUCUUUGAGUUUUGACGUAGAUUUGAAUUUAAAGAAUGGCGGUGUUGUUGUACGGAAG
rnacentral:misc_RNA from 1 species